rnacentral:miRNA from 1 species
CAUGUGUCAACUACGGCUAUU